rnacentral:lncRNA from 1 species
ACACCAAGCCUUCAUUAACAAUUUUCAAACCUCACUUCUUCUCGCUCAAGAACGAAACUGAAACAAACAAAGGUGAAGAAAAAAAGGCUCAAAAAUCACUUCAAUCUUCGAAAUCAACAUCCAUCAUUCAAUUCAAUUCAUCUGGCGCACGCGGAAUCAAAAAGAAAUGAAAACGAAUUUGAAGCAAGAACUCAAUGAAUCAGAGUUUCGACAUGAACAGGUACCGAAUCUCCUCCCUUCUCUGUUUCGAUUCCUCCUUCUCAAAUUCUUCUACUACCAUGUGCGUUGAAUCGAGAGCAGUUGUAGCGGGGAAUUGAGAAUUGAGAGUUGCAGCGAGGAGUGAAAAUCGUGAGAGAUUAUGAGAGUUGCGAAUAACAAUGAAAUCGUGAGUUUGAAGAGUGAAAAAUUAUUUAGAAUGAAAAAUGAAUCGUGAAAAUUGAAGAAAUGAAAAUCGCCAGUGAUGAAGGUUGCAGGGUUAGCUUAAAUAGGAUGAAGAUGUUUGAUCCGUUGAUCUUCAUUAAUUCAUUUUUGUCAAUUCUAUUGAAAGUUUUUAACACUGUGAAUUAGUUAGUUGGUUAGUGUGAACCUAUUAACCGUUAGUUUGAAUUUUGGAGUGAAGUUAAACGUGAGUUGUUGUGAAGAAAAAUUAGAAGAGUUAAUCGGUUUUGAAUCUGUUAAUUUAGCUAAGUGAAUGCUAUGGUUAGUGAAAAUGAAUGAAAUUAGUUUUUUUUGAAGAGUGAAGUUAGUGAUGGAAAUUGGUUCUGUUAAUUUUUGCAGGGCCAAUUGAAACUGGCUUUAUUAGAAUUUGAUGCGAAUUGGAAUUUGGCUUGUGAAACUAAUUGGCUGCAUUUGGCAAUUGUUUUUGCAGGUGAAUGAGUUUGGAAGGUUUUUGGAAUAUUGUUGAUCAUAAGCUAUGCUUGGAAUGGAUUUGGAUUGUUAUAUUGACUUGAUUGUGUUGUAAUUUUGAAGUUGAAAUAUGUGAAGUGUAUUGAAUACUGUAACUUGUAAUCAAUGGUUGAAUGUUGGUUUGUGGUAUUGAAUAAUGUACAUGGAAUUGAAUGAAGAUGAAUGUAUUUGGGUAUUGAACAUGUAUGGCUUAUGUAUUUGAAAAUGGAAAUUGAAUGGUUGAAUGAAAUAUUGGAAUCAAUAGCUUAUGUAUGAAAUCGUUUGGUUAGUUUAAUUGUUAGAUUGAUUGGCUAUGGUGAAA